AGGCCUUCUAACAAUUAUAUUUGGAUACACUAAAAGGCCUUCUAACACUUAUACUUGGCUACACUAAAAGGCCUUCUGACAAUUAUAUUUGGAUACACUAAAAGGCCUUCUAACACUUUUACUAGGCUACACUAAAAGGCCUUCUAACACUUAUAAAUGACUACACUAAAAGGCCUUCUAACACUUAUACUUGGCUACACUAAAAGGCCUUCUGACAAUUAUAUUUGGCUACACUAAAAGGCCUUCUAACAAUUAUAUUUGGCUACACUAAAAGGCCUUCUAACAAUUAUAUUUGGCUACACUAAAAGGCCUUCUGACAAUUAUAUUUGGCUACACUAAAAGGCCUUCUAACACUUAUAAAUGACUACACUAAAAGGCCUUCUAACAAUUAUAUUUGGCUACACUAAAAGGCCUUCUAACACUUAUAAAUGACUACACUAAAAGGCCUUCUAACAAUUAUAUUUGGCUACACUAAAAGGCCUUCUAACACUUAUAAAUGACUACACUAAAAGGCCUUCUAACAAUUAUAUUUGGCUACACUAAAAGGCCUUCUAACACUUAUAAAUGACUACACUAAAAUGCCUUCUAACACUUAUACUUGGCUUCACAAAAAGGACUUCUAACACUUAUAUUUGGCUACAAUAAAAUGCCUUCUAACACUUAUAUAUGGAUACACUAAAAGGCCUUCUAACAAUUAUAUUUGGCUACAAUAAAAUGCCUUCUAACACUUAUACAUGGCUACACUAAAAGGCCUUCCAACCGUUCCUCUUGAUCCUCUAAAAGGCCUUCUCACAGUUAUUCUUGAUCCUCUAAAAGGCCUUCUCACAGUUAUUCUUGAUCCUCUAAAAGGCCUUCUCACAGUUAUUCUUGAUCCACUAAAAGGCCUUCUCACUGUUAUUCUUGAUCCUCUAAAAGGCCUUCUCACAAUUAUUCUUGAUCCUCU